CUUCUAUUUAGCUGGCAAGCAGCACUGAAAGACAAUGUUCAGGCUCAUCUGCAUUGUUUUUAUCCUGAUAUAAUUUUUAUUUCAAGUACCAUUAUACAGUGUUGGGAUGGAAUUGGCUCAAGCUGAUGUCAAUAUUUAUUCUUCCAUAGCAAAUAUAUAAACCUUCUUCCAAAGCUGAGCAUCUUAAACAACAGGAACAACUAGCCAACAUCAGAAAUGAAUAUUACUUAAUAUACCAGUGCAAUUACACAGGCAUGAAGAUGGCAUAUGAGCAGACAGAACUAGAAACAGCACACAGGCAAACAUGGGACACAACAGAAAGUUCUGGAUUAGAAGAAAAUGCUUCCAGAAGGAUCAGCAAAGCAAUCUGAAAAAGGUUUAUGGUGAAGAGUGCUGGAAUAUGAUCUUCAGGCACUGAAGAAAGAAAAGGAAACCUGUACUGAGCAGAGUCAGGACUGUGUGAUGCUUUCUGUACAUAAGCAGCCUUGCAAUGAAGGAAAAGCCCGAGGCAACAUCGAGUCCUCCUUGUAAUGGGAACAGCAAGGUUGACUAUUAACAAACAAACUGUUCAGAUCAGAUGCAGAAAACUACAGUUCGAGUCACAAGGCCCAGAUUCAGAAGCAUUUGAGGGUCACAUCAGAGUCAAAGACACAUCAGCUGAGUUGACAGAAACACAAGAAGCUAGAACCCAUCUGAACAGGAACAGGAAAGGAAGAGAGAUAUCUGACAGGCUCGCUGGGGAGCGGUGUCAACACCCCAUUAAAAAAACAGAUAGGGAGAACUGGUGGUGCUCGCCUCAUUGCCAGGAGCUUCAGAAUAGACCUCUGGGAGAAAAUUCAGUUAAGAAGGUCACAAGAGGGCAGCCACACUUGGAAUGCCACACAGACGUGACAAGAAGCCCAGUUGUCAAGACCAACCAACAACCUACAGGUGAAAGCCUUCAUAAAAUGACUGUGUUCACUCUUUUCUACAGAAUGACCAGAUAUUAUCCAACAGUGCAAAAGGCUUCCUGUGUAACUACUGCUAGAAAGAAAGGCAAACUGCCAGUGGACACCAUCUUCGUCAUCACCAGCUUCCCUUCCCUAGCAGAAACUGCCAAGCUCUCCCAAGGGAAAAACAUCUGAGGACAAGUAUUUUCUGCAAGACCUACAAAGAAGGUUUAAACUCAGCACUGCCCGUUAGGCUUUCAGUUAUCUCCAAGGCUCAACAAAUCUGAGUUAAGUGCCUGAGCUUCCUACACAGCACCCAGGGAGAAGAAGGCAGAUGUCAGACUGCUACAAAGGGGUUGUGUUAAAAAGUCGGUAAAAUUUCCCAGACUGUCAUCUUGCCAGAUUUUGCUGCAGAGACAGCACUUCAAAUCUAAAAGCUGGUGCAAAGCUAGGUUCAUUUUUAACUCUUCAAGAUGUAAAAAGCAGUGUAAUCUUGUGCUGAUGCCUCCUACCUGUUGAGUUUGUGCCAGAACUCGUGAGCUGUGGGUUAUUCUGAAACGGGGCUCACUUGGUUUCUCCUCUUACAGCUACAGAUAAUUAAAUAUUAGUUGCCAAAUGGGCUCAUGCUGCAAUCUCCUGCUGCCUAGGAGAAACAUCUGCAGAUGAGUUGCAUAGCAAAUCUCUGUCUUGAUUUGGCCUAGUAAAUAUUUAAUUUUCCUAGGGAUAAAGGAGACAGCUGGAAGCACAUUCCUUCUCCAAGCCAGACUGAGAACCCAAAGUAGAAGAUGAAUUUAUCAUUUAAUUCAACUGAAGGGGAAAAUGCACAGCUAUCUGUCUUGAACACAUCAUCCCUUACUGCUGACCUCUGAGGUUAGACUUGACCAUGCAGGGAAUGUAGGCUGGGGACAGUUAUUUUGUGAUUGCUGCAGUACCUUUGAGGUCUAAGGCAACAGAAACAUAAUGACUUGGGUAUCUAUGCCCACUGCCAAAAAUAUAGGUGACUGGGAAAGUCAGGAGUGCAGGUAUCAAAGUACUGCAGGAUUUUGAAAAUGUGAAUUUAGGUUUUAAAUGCCAAAAGUACCAGAUCUUUGUGACUUCUGAUGAGACUGAUUUUAACAAUAUCAUCACAAGCAUUCAAUGGAGAAAUAAAGAUUACUUGAGCACUUUUGCCUUAGUUUAA
rnacentral:lncRNA from 1 species